AUGGUGGUUGAUCAUAGCGGAAAGGGAUCAGAAGCAGAAGAUUCAAACCCUAACGCCGUUUCAUCGGAAAACAGUCCAAAGAAAACCUGCGCCGAUUGCGGAACUUCCAAAACACCUCUAUGGCGAGGCGGUCCUGCAGGUCCAAAGUCACUGUGCAAUGCUUGUGGUAUCAGGAGCAGGAAGAAGAAGAGAGCGAUCUUAGGGAUAAGCAAAGGAAACCACGAGGAUGGAAUGAGAAAGGGGAAAAAGAGUAACGGAAGCGGUGGAAGCAAGGUUGGAGAUAAUUUAAGCAUGAAGCAGAGAUUGUUGAAUUUGGGGAAAGAAGUGUUUAUGCAGAGAUCGCAUUGGAAGAAACUGGGAGAAGAAGAAAAAGCGGCGGUGCUUUUGAUGUCAUUAUCUUAUGGAUCCGUUUAUGCCUAA